rnacentral:rRNA from 1 species
ACGGGUGAGUAACACGUGGGCAACCUGCCCUUGAGACUGGGAUAACUUCGGGAAAUCGGAGCUAAUACCGGAUAAUAUAAGGAACCUCCUGGUUCCUUGUUGAAAGAUGGUUUCGGCUAUCACUUAAGGAUGGGCCCGCGGCGCAUUAGCUAGUUGGUGAGGUAACGGCUCACCAAGGCGACGAUGCGUAGCCGACCUGAGAGGGUGAUCGGCCACACUGGGACUGAGACACGGCCCAGACUCCUACGGGAGGCAGCAGUAGGGAAUCUUCCACAAUGGACGAAAGUCUGAUGGAGCAACGCCGCGUGAGUGAUGAAGGCCUUCGGGUCGUAAAGCUCUGUUGUUAGGGAAGAACAAGUGCGAGAGUAACUGCUCGCACCUUGACGGUACCUAACCAGAAAGCCACGGCUAACUACGUGCCAGCAGCCGCGGUAAUACGUAGGUGGCAAGCGUUAUCCGGAAUUAUUGGGCGUAAAGCGCGCGCAGGUGGUUUCUUAAGUCUGAUGUGAAAGCCCACGGCUCAACCGUGGAGGGUCAUUGGAAACUGGGGAACUUGAGUGCAGAAGAGAAAAGUGGAAUUCC